rnacentral:lncRNA from 1 species
CUUGAGUCACGCAGCAUGAUGCCUCAAGGAAAAAGGAAAAGUGCUGCGGUCUCCUCGGCUGCAGUUAUUGUGAUAUGUUUUGUGGCGCAAAUGGUGGACUGUUACCGGCUGAAGAAAAGGGAAAUAGGAGAUGGUCAAAGAGAUGCCAGUACAGCUGAAAAGCAAAGUGUCCAAGAGGGGAAGAUAGUCUUCGGGAGAGUUUUUAAAAAAGGGUCAGGCCUUGAGUCAGAAGUUUUUGACUGGACUGGGAAAUCCUCUUCAAACGCUUCUGUGGCGGAGGGCACGGCUUAUCAAGCAGACUCUGCAGGCUGGUCAAAAGGGCAAACAUAUGAUAGCAGUUCCACACAAUGGAAGCGCAUGGCACCUUCCCUGCAGUGUGUUGGAGACCGGAUGAGGUUUAAAGUAUUGGGACCAGGUGCUUCAGUAUUUGCACUGGACCAAGGAAGUGCACCUCCAAUGCCUCUGUCCCAGGUCCCUUCCACCUGUGGCUACCACGUGCAGAGGAACUCCCUUGGACUUACUAUGUUGGUUCCUUAUCAUGGCUGUAAUGUGGUUCAAGAGGUAACUUUUCUUUUUCCAUGAAAUAAAAACAGAAGAUGCUUGAACUGGAGAAAAAAAUGGUUGUUUUGAUGAGAAUUU